rnacentral:rRNA from 1 species
AUUGAACGCUGGCGGCAUGCCUUACACAUGCAAGUCGAACGGCAGCGCGGGGCAACCUGGCGGCGAGUGGCGAACGGGUGAGUAACAUAUCGGAACAUACCCUAGAGUGGGGGAUAACGUAGCGAAAGUUACGCUAAUACCGCAUACGCACUAAGGUGGAAAGUGGGGGAUCUUCGGACCUCAUGCUCAUGGAGUGGCCGAUAUCUGAUUAGCUAGUUGGUGAGGUAAAGGCUCACCAAGGCGACGAUCAGUAGCUGGUUUGAGAGAACGACCAGCCACACUGGAACUGAGACACGGUCCAGACU